GAUGAACGCUAGCGGCAGGCCUAAUACAUGCAAGUCGAGGGGCAGCGCGGUAGCAAUACUGGCGGCGACCGGCGCACGGGUGCGUAACACGUAUGCAACCUACCUUCAACUGGAGGAUAGCCCGGGGAAGCUCGGAUUAAUACUCCAUAACACAGGGAUCCCGCAUGGGAAUAUUGUUAAAGCUACGGCGGUUGAAGAUGGGCAUGCGUUCGAUUAGCUAGUUGGUGUAGGUAACGGCUCACCAAGGCUACGAUCGAUAGGGGGUCUGAGAGGAUGAUCCCCCACACUGGUACUGAGAUACGGACCAGACUCCUACGGGAGGCAGCAGUAGGGAAUAUUGGUCAAUGGGCGCAAGCCUGAACCAGCCAUGCCGCGUGCAGGAAGAAGGCCCCUCUGGGGUUGUAAACUGCUUUUGAUAGGGAACAAAUGCCACUUGCGAGUGGAGCUGAGUGUACCUAUAGAAUAAGCACCGGCUAACUCCGUGCCAGCAGCCGACGG
rnacentral:rRNA from 1 species